CGGAUCUUCUCCUUCGGGAGAAGGUUAGCGGCGGACGGGUGAGUAACACGUAGGCAACCUGCCCCUUUGAUCGGGAUAACAUUCGGAAACGAAUGCUAAGACCGGAUACAUCACCAUGCUGCAUGGCAAGGUGAGGAAACACGUGAGCAAUCUGCCCGGCAGACAGGGACAACCGGCCGAAAGGCUGGCUAAUCCCUGAUAUUAUGAGGGAGGGGCAUCCUUUCCUUAUGAAAGGCCCGCAAGGGUCACUGCCGGAGGGGCUCGCGGCCUAUCAGCUAGUUGGCGGGGUUACGGCCCACCAAGGCGAUGACGGGUAGCUGGUCUGAAAGGACGGUCAGCCACAGGGGCACUGAGACACGGGCCCCACUCCUACGGGAGGC
rnacentral:sRNA from 1 species